CGAUGGUUACCACGAUAGUUACCACGUAGUUACCACGAUAGUUACAAUAGUUACCACGUAGUUACAUUACCACAAUAGUUACGCUAGUUACCACGCAGUUACCACGAUAGUUACGACGUAGUCACCACAUUACCACGAUGCUUACCACGAUAGUUACCACGUAGUUACCACGAUAGUUACAAUAGUUACCACGUAGUUACAUUACCACAAUAGUUACGAUAGUUACCAUGUAGUUACCACAUUACCACGAUAGUUACCACGUAGUUACGAUUGUUAUCACGUAGUUACCUCGUAUUACCACAUAGUUACCACGUAGUUGCCACAUUACCAUGAUAGUUACGCUAGUUACCACGCAGUUACCACGAUAGUUACGACGUAGUCACCACAUUACCACGAUGGUUACCACGUAGUUACUACGGUAGUUACCAUGUAGUUACCACAUUACCACGAUAGUUACCACGCAGUUACCACGAUCGUUACCACGAUAGUUACCACGUAGUUACAUUACCACGAUAGUUACGAUAGUCACCACGUAGUUACCACAUAGUCACCAGUUACCACGUAGUUACCACAUUACCACGAUAUUACCACGAUAGUUACCACGAUAGUUACCAUGUAGUUACCACGAUAUUAUCAACGAUAGUUACCACGUAGUUACAUUACCACGAUAGUUACGAUAGUCACCACGUAGUUACCACGAUAGUUGCGACGUAGUUACCACGUAGUUACCACAUUACCACGAUAGUUACGAUAGUCACCACGUAGUUACCACG
ensembl:lncRNA